rnacentral:rRNA from 1 species
GGUGAACGGGGGAGUGCCACGUGAGUAACCUGCCCUUAACUCUGGGAUAAGCCUGGGAAACUGGGUCUAAUACCGGAUAUGACUCCUCAUCGCAUGGUGGGGGGUGGAAAGCUUUAUUGUGGUUUUGGAUGGACUCGCGGCCUAUCAGCUUGUUGGUGAGGUAAUGGCUCACCAAGGCGACGACGGGUAGCCGGCCUGAGAGGGUGACCGGCCACACUGGGACUGAGACACGGCCCAGACUCCUACGGGAGGCAGCAGUGGGGAAUAUUGCACAAUGGGCGAAAGCCUGAUGCAGCGACGCCGCGUGAGGGAUGACGGCCUUCGGGUUGUAAACCUCUUUCAGUAGGGAAGAAGCGAAAGUGACGGUACCUGCAGAAGAAGCGCCGGCUAACUACGUGCCAGCAGCCGCGGUAAUACGUAGGGCGCAAGCGUUAUCCGGAAUUAUUGGGCGUAAAGAGCUCGUAGGCGGUUUGUCGCGUCUGCCGUGAAAGUCCGGGGCUCAACUCCGGAUCUGCGGUGGGUACGGGCAGACUAGAGUGAUGUAGGGGAGACUGGAAUUCCUGGUGUAGCGGUGAAAUGCGCAGAUAUCAGGAGGAACACCGAUGGCGAAGGCAGGUCUCUGGGCAUUAACUGACGCUGAGGAGCGAAAGCAUGGGGAGCGAACAGGAUUAGAUACCCUGGUAGUCCAUGCCGUAAACGUUGGGCACUAGGUGUGGGGGACAUUCCACGUUUUCCGCGCCGUAGCUAACGCA